GGCUUGCAUUAUGGAGGCGUUCAGAUGAAAUAGUCAUGGCCUCCAGGCCUGAAAAGAUAUUAAAGGAUAGAACACUUCUUAUUCUCUGUCUUCAGAUCUUUUCCACUAAACCUCUACAUGUGAGAGAAAGGAUGAAACUGUAGAACCGUGUAUAUUAGUCCAUUGGAUUGUUUCAGUAAAACAUGGGUUUAAAACCAGUCCAAACCCUGCCUUGCCCUCAAGGACUGGCUAGGGAGUCUCAUUUUUAUCCUAUCCCUUGUCACCUCAGAGUCUGGUACAUCUUACAGUUAAAAGUAUUAAAUCUCUUGUUACUGUAAAUACCAAAUUCAUUUUAAUUGUUUUCUUUGUUUUUACAUGGAUGGAACUUAAUUUUAUUUCUCAGACCUUGAUUUUGUGCUUGAAUGAGACUGAGCCAAGUUAGUGCUUCUGAUUCUGGGAAGCCAUAUUUGCGGAAUAUCAUAGACAAAACAUGUAAUCACAGAAAUUGCUAGACUGUGUGCUGAGGUUUGGCAUUUACGAUACUUUUGCUCAAAUUGCCAUGAAUAAAAGCUCUUCAUGCAUAAGUCUAAUUGCUUAAAAGUAAGAUGAAAAGGGAAUCCCCUGCACAUGUGAGACUUUAUCCAUUGCUGGUAAGUGUGCAGCUAUUAGUUGCAAUGGUCUGCUGAUGUGUGUUACUUGUUAAAGUUUUAGAAUGACAUGCUCUGCCAAUUCAUCUCUCUCCCACCUCUCAGAUGUUAUUCUCAGCUGAAUAUGUAAAUUAUGUUUUCUUCCACAGCUCCUGAUACCUUUUAUUGAACAUUUUUCAAUUCCAAAACUGAUACACUUUUCCCUUCAUUUGCAAUGUGCAUCAAGAGUUUCUGCACAUGUUAUGAAAUCUACGGCUAUAGGAAUUUUCAAGAAAUAGAAAUCAAAUUGGGCAGAAGUCCUUUGUGGAAUAAUCUGUAUUUGACAGUAACAAAGUAUACACCUCUUGAAGAAAAUUUAAAAAAGAAAAAGCAAAACAACAACAAAGAGGAGCAAUUGGCUUGUACAAAUUAAUAAUUUCUUAGGAAAGAAAAAAUACAACGACAUCAUAAACUGUCAGCCCAGCAUACAGGUCAGCCUGAUUUUUCUGUAAAGUCCAUGAAUAUGUUUCAUUUCAUUAGUAUCGGUUCAAAUAGCCACUCUUGCCCUAAUGGCUUGCUCUUUUGCUCAAGAAUUUGCACAUGGUCAGAACAAUAUUAAUUUCUAAUAUCAGUGGUGUGCAGAAGCCCAAAAGCAGAAUGCUCUGAGAUGGAUGUUGACCAGGCUGUAGUUCCCUGGUGAAAGAUGGAGUUGGGAAGAGAUGAUCCCCAGUAUCACCAUCCAAAGAAGCACAGGCAUGUCCCAUUACAAGAACAGGGAUGAACAGCCAACCUCUAAGCCUGCAUCUGUUCAGCGCUGUUCCAGUUGAAUCUCUGAUAUAUGGAAUUUCAAGAAGAAUGAUGUCUCUGGGACAAUGCAAAGGUGAGGUGAUUUUUUGAUGGGAAGCUAAUAUCAGCAAUAAAAUAGGGCAGCCUCUGCUGCUUCAUAACAUAAACCUUCCUGAGAGGCUGAGUAGGCUUUGCAUCUCCUUAAUGAAGAUACAUUUUUUCAAUUUAAAAUCCUAUGCAAGUGAAAUACUGCUUUUACUGAUGAUUGCAGAAGGAAAUCAAUUCAGUAUUACAUGUUCUGAAAUAGAUCCCAUAAAUUGUCUCCACUCCUUGAUUGCAAUAAAAGCCUGACAACCCACACAGCUGAGGCUCUGUCUCUCUAUUUGGACAGCAGAUGGUAUUCUGACGAUCAGCUUAUAAACA
ensembl:lncRNA